AUCAUGCAGUGUUUAUCUUUUAGUGACUGGCUUAUUUCCCUUAGCAGAAUAUCCUCAAGCUUCUUACUUAUAGUAGCAUAUUUCACAAUUUCCUGCCUUUUAAAGGCUGAAUAAUACUCUGUUGUGUGUCUAUACCAUGUUUUGCUUAUUCAUUUAUCCAUCAGUGGACACUUGGGUUGUUUUCACAUUUUAGCUGUUGUGAAUAAUGCUGCUAUAAAUGUCAGUUUGCAAAUAAGGAUAUAUAGUCUUACGUGUUCAGAAAGAAGAGAAACCAUGUGUUGUGAACUGAUAUCCCAUCUCUGCCAUGGAAGUUAACAUAUAUGAGCACACCGGAUGGUCAAGCGUAUGACAGUGGGGAUGGAUGGGGACAGUGGAGAAGUGGAGUGCUGCUUCCCCAUCUAAAAAGACAGCCAUUUCUCAGCUUCAGUUGAUUAGUGCCAGGUAGAAAUGCCAACCAGAGGUGGCCAGACCUUCCAAUUUCUAAAACGAGGUUAGAUAUCUGAACUGACAUAUAAAAUGUCUUGACUUAAUAACAUUGGUGAAGAAUUUAUGAAACAAACAAACAGUGUGGAGAAUAAUCAACAUUCCCUUGCAAGCCUGAUGUGGCCUGUGUGUUUUAGGCUGCAACUUACUGUGUCUGUGUUGGACCAUGUGCUCAAUAGGAAAGACAGAUGAUUUGCUAGUGACAAACUGGCCUGGGAAUGCUCCAGGCAGAAGAGUAAAGGGCAGAAAUCAGCUUGGCUCUUAGUAAGGCUUCAUUUCACACCAAACAGGAGCUACAAAGAAGUUUGGAAAGACCCUUUGGUCAGAGAUUUUCCAGAAUGCUUUCAAAAAGCAGCAGCCUUCCAUGGCCAAGCGGGGCAGUGGGUGAGGCAGAGAAAGAUAGGUAAGAAAGAAGUGACAUAUGAAAUGACCGAGGCCACGGGACAUCCGUGUACCUCUGUUCAGCCAUGUCAUGUCUACCUGCAUUGUCCCAGUGGCAUUGUGAGAGGUGCCAGGGUGUGUGCUCGGCAUCGAGUGAUUUCACCGUGAGUCAUAGACGCCGCAGGUGUUUACCGCUCUAAGAUAGAAGUUCUGUAUGUGUCUGUGUGGACACACAUUUCCUGUAAUGCUGUCAGUGGCUGUCAGCUUUGGGGUUUAUACAAAGCUGUGGUCAUGUUCCAGUCACACCUUGGAUGAUUUACAAACACUGCAAACAUUGGAACUGAAAGCCUAUUAUUUUCUUGGUAAACUGACGUUGACCUCAAAGGCAAGCCGACGAUGCCUAUUCACAUUGCUCGUGAUGGAGAUACCAAUCCAUGGAACCGGGUGGCCCAGCUAUGUUGGUAGCUACACCAGAAGGCUUCUUGGCAAAGAUUCCUCCAGGGAAGGAAGGUAGCAUCGGAGAACUGUGCAUUAAGACAGGGAAGAAAUUACUGGAAUGGUGAAACAUUAAACUGGAAGGAAGCCUUAGGCAAACCUAACUGGUGAGAAAACAGACACCAAGAUGUUACCCAGGACAGGAUCUCCCAGGCUGGAUUGCAGUGGUGUGAUCAUGGCUCACUGCAGCCUCAACUCACUGGCCUAGAACAAUUCUCUCACUGAGUUUCCCAAGUAGAUGAACUACAGAUGCUGCAGCUGCAGGCAUGAGAGGAAGGCAGCUUGGACGUCUCUGUUCAACAUUGGUCAUCCAGUCUGAAAGUUUCCCAGGUACAAUUGAUCUUUUCCUCUUUCUGCUACUUUCCUUUGAACUAUUUAUCCACU